rnacentral:rRNA from 1 species
CAGCCGCCACGGUAAUACGAAGGGGGCUAGCGUUGCUCGGAAUGACUGGGCGCAAAGGGCGCGUAGGCGGUUCGGAUAGUCAGAUGUGAAAUUCCUGGGCUUAACCUGGGGGCUGCAUUUGAUACUGUCGGGCUUGAGUAUGGAAGAGGGUCGUGGAAUUCCCAGUGUAGAGGUGAAAUUCGUAGAUAUUGGGAAGAACACCGGUGGCGAAGGCGGCGACCUGGUCCAUAACUGACGCUGAGGCGCGAAAGCGUGGGGAGCAAACAGGAUUAGAUACCCCCGUAGUCCCUGUCUCUUAUAC